UACGUAGGGGGCAAGCGUUGUCCGGAUUUAUUGGGCGUAAAGAGCGUGUAGGCGGCCUUACAGGUCAGCUGUGAAAACUCGAGGCUCAACCUCGAGACGCCGGUGGAAACCAUCUAGCUAGAGUCCGGAAGAGGAGAGUGGAAUUCCUGGUGUAGCGGUGAAAUGCGCAGAUAUCAGGAAGAACACCCGUGGCGAAGGCGGCUCUCUGGGACGUGACUGACGCUGAGGUGCGAAAGCGUGGGGAGCAAACAGG
rnacentral:rRNA from 1 species